AUGAACGCUGGCGGCGUGCCUCAUCCAUGCAAGUCGCGCGCACAGACGGGGAGCUUGCUCCUCUGACGUUAGCGGCGGACGGGUGAGUAACACGUGGAUAACCUACCUAUAAGACUGGGAUAACUUCGGGAAACCGGAGCUAAUACCGGAUAAUAUAUUGAACCGCAUGGUUCAAUAGUGAAAGACGGUUUUGCUGUCACUUAUAGAUGGAUCCGCGCCGCAUUAGCUAGUUGGUAAGGUAACGGCUUACCAAGGCAACGAUGCGUAGCCGACCUGAGAGGGUGAUCGGCCACACUGGAACUGAGACACGGUCCAGACUCCUACGGGAGGCAGCAGUAGGGAAUCUUCCGCAAUGGGCGAAAGCCUGACGGAGCAACGCCGCGUGAGUGAUGAAGGUCUUCGGAUCGUAAAACUCUGUUAUUAGGGAAGAACAAAUGUGUAAGUAACUAUGCACGUCUUGACGGUACCUAAUCAGAAAGCCACGGCUAACUACGUG
rnacentral:rRNA from 1 species